GUUGAGAUAUAGCCCAGUGGUAGAGCACUUGCUUAGCAUGUGCAAGGCCUUGGGUUUGAUCCCCAGCAACG
rnacentral:tRNA from 1 species